GCGGAGGACUUCGGUCCUUAGCGGCGGACGGGUGAGUAACACGUAGGUAACCUGCCUCAUCGACCGGGAUAACAUUCGGAAACGAAUGCUAAGACCGGAUAAGAACUCUGCUCGCAUGGGCGGGGUUGGAAACAUGGGCUACAUGGCGAUGAGAUGGACCUGCGGCGCAUUAGCUAGUUGGUGGGGUAACGGCUCACCAAGGCGACGAUGCGUAGCCGACCUGAGAGGGUGAACGGCCACACUGGGACUGAGACACGGCCCAGACUCCUACGGGAGGCAGCAGUAGGGAAUCUUCCGCAAUGGGCGCAAGCCUGACGGAGCAACGCCGCGUGAGCGAUGAAGGUCUUCGGAUCGUAAAGCUCUGUUGCCAAGGAAGAACAACAGAUAGAGGGAAUGUUAUCUGUUUGACGGUACUUGAGAAGAAAGCCCCGGCUAACUACGUGCCAGCAGCCGCGGUAAUACGUAGGGGGCAAGCGUUGUCCGGAAUUAUUGGGCGUAAAGCGCGCGCAGGCGGUUUACUAAGUCUGAUAUUAAAGACCGGAGCUCAACUUCGGGACUGUAUCGGAAACUGUCAGACUAGAGGAUAAUAGAGGAAGUCGGAAUUCUCAGUGUAGCGGUGAAAUGCGUAGAUAUUGGGAAGAACACCAGUGGCGAAAGCGGACUUCUGGGUUAUUACUGACGCUGAGGUACGAAAGCGUGGGGAGCAAACGGGAUUAGAUACCCCGGUAGUCCACGCGGUAAACGAUGGAUACUAGAUGUAGCCGGUCUCGACCCCGGCUGUGUCGUAGCUAACGCAAUAAG
rnacentral:rRNA from 1 species